rnacentral:rRNA from 1 species
GAAUAUUAGUCAAUGCUCGAAAGAGUGAACUAGCUAACUGAAAUCAAUUAUAAAAAUUGAUAACAUAAGGGAAAAUAAUGAUAUUACCUUAUUAUUAGUGUCGUCCAAAUCUGGUGCCAGAAGACUCGGUAAGGCCAGAGACACGAACGUUAAUCGUCUUAAUCAGGCGUAAAGGGUUUGUAGGCGGCUUUAAAUUUACUUUAUAAGUUUUUAAUAAAUAAAAUAAAAUAAGUAAAGAAUAAAAGCUAGAAUCAAAUAGAGGAUAUAUAAAAUAAUGCUUAGAGUAGGUCUGAUAUCCUUAGAUACUAAGUAGAGUAUUAAAUGCGAAAGCUUUUUUCCAUUAAUGAUUGACGCUCAGAAACGAAAGUGAGGAUAGGAAAUAGGAUUAGAUACCCAAAAUACCCCUCUCUGUCAACGAUGAAUGGUAGUUAUUAGUAAUAAAUUUAUUAAUGGCAAUGUUAACACGAUAACCAUUCCGCCUUGUGAGUACUACUGCAAAGUUGAAAACAAAAAAAUUAGUCGGUUUCGGAGCAAACGAAGUGAAGCAUGUUAUUUAAUUC